rnacentral:rRNA from 1 species
AAAGGAAUAGACGGGGGCCCGCACAAGCGGUGGAGCAUGUGGUUUAAUUCGAUGAUACGCGAGGAACCUUACCAGGGCUUGAACGCAUUUCGACAGGCUGGGAAACCAGUCCUCCUUCGGGCGAUUUGCGAGGUGCUGCAUGGUUGUCGUCAGCUCGUGCCGUGAGGUGUCAGGUUAAGUCCUAUAACGAGCGCAACCCCUAUUCUUAGUUGCCAGCGGAUAAUGCCGGGGACUCUAGGAAAACUGCCAGCGCAAGCUGUGAGGAAGGUGGGGAUGACGUCAAAUCAUCACGGCCCUUACGUCCUGGGCUACACACGUGCUACAAUGGCGAGUACAAUGGGCAGCUACCUGGUGACAGGAUGCUAAUCUCCAAAGCUCGCCUCAGUUCGGAUUGGAGUCUGCAACUCGACUCUAUGAAGCUGGAAUCGCUAGUAAUCGCGCAUCAGCCAUGGCGCGGUGAAUACGUUCCCGGGCCUUGUACACACCGCCCGU